GUUACAGGAAGUUCCAAUCUCCUCUCAUUAGGUUCCAAAAUCAAGAUCCAGAUUUCAUCUUCUGAAUUUGAAACCCCACAUCCAAACUCGCCCAAAAAGAACAGAUCUGAAAGACAUGAGAUGGGAGGCGGUGGCUAAACGUCAGAUCUAAGUGAGCGUGGUUUGGCCGGAGAUCGGAGGCGGUGGUGAUGGAUGAAUAGAUCUGAUGGCGGCGACGGGGUGUCCGGAAGACAGGGGUGGUGGUGAUGGAUGAAUAGAUCUGAUGGAGGCGGUUGAUUUUGGUUUUUUUGGGUUGAUAACUUGAUAUUUGUGUGUAGUCCAAAUUAAGUCAAUGGAAAGAGUAAUGCUAUGAGUUCUGACAAAGGAGGUGGUCAGUCUAACAAAGGUAAAGCCGUAGCUGGUUCGUCUAACUUUGACAUUAAUCAGUUGAGCCAAUCAGUCCAAGAUGUGAACCUGGAUUCCAACCAAGAUGGCAGCUGGGAGAUGAUCUCCAAAAAGAACAAAAACCGACCAGAGAUGUCUGUGUUGUUUGUUUAGAGAGAGAGAGAGUGUGUUUAAAGUGAGAGAGAGAGAGAGGGAAAAGGGAGAGAGUGAGUGAUUGAGAAAAAAAUGUAUUUAUAUUUGAUUUUAUUUUUUUAAUUAUACUAUAAAUAAUUAAGUA